CGCCCGGUAGCUCAGUGGGAGAGCAGGAGCCUGCAACGUUCCAGGUCCAUCGUUCGAUUUAGGUCGGGCUU